AAAGGCAAGCCAUUUAACUCAUUAGAAAGAAAACGCAAACUAAAGAGAACCCUAAGCGCCGUCUCUCUCUCUCUCUCGUCUCAACACAGUCGCCACCGCACUCAGUCACCACCGUCAGCGGCAAUCACUCAGUCACCACCGUAUCUCUUCAACUCAGUCGCCAGCGUCUCAUCUCAACACGAUUCACCACCGCCUCGUUUCUAUCGUUGACACUUCCCUGAUGAUUAUGUCAUGUUGCUGUUUGGAUUUAAUUUCUUGCUUGGAAAUAUGGUGGAAUCAAGAUUGAAGAAAUAGAUGGUAUCCACACCAAUGACACAGAUUUGGAAGAUGACCAGCUGUUGAUAUAAUUUGAAGAAAAUUUUGAUAUAUUUUGAAGAAGAUUUUGAUGACAAUGAUUCAACUAAUGAAGAUGUUCCAAAUGAUCAUAUUGAACCUGAUUAUGAUUAAAUUUGUUUAUUGUUUUUUUUCUUCUUUCUUUUGGUUGAAAAAGUGAUUAUUGUUUUUUGUGAAAGUCAUUAUUCACACUAUUAUAUCAUUGUUACUUUUUUAUAUUUAAACAUAUGUGAUUAAUCUCUAUGUCUUUAUCAUUACUUUAGAUGUCAGGUAGUAAACCAAGAGGACUACAUAAACGAUUUGUAGAUAAAGGGAAUGGAAAGAAAGUUCCAACCAUUUCUACUAGUUUGGAGCAAAGGAACACUGCUAUGCACACAACUUCAGUGUCACACUAGGAAGGGGACACAACUUUGUUGAUAAGAGAUCAAGUGAUGCAUAUGAUAACAUUGUAAAUCUAUGUUCACAAGUUGAGACUAGUGGCACUCAACCCAAGCCAAUUGGUAUGGAUGGAAGCAUGCUCACCCAUGGCUCAACAUCUCAAUCAAAUAAAUAUUCAAAUUAUGUUGAUAUUGUUCAUGGCAUGAGUAGAGAGGUUGAUGCGGGACUACGACAACAACUGAUAUUUGGAUUUAAUGGAUUUGGAUGAAGAUGAUCCUUCGGUUGGUAUUGUUAGUCGUGGAAGCAAUGCCAUUGAUGGUUCAAAUGCUAAUGAGUAGUAAUAUUGAUGACUUUGGAUUAGAACUUAAAAAUUAUUGAAAGUUUGAUAUUUUGUAGGCACAUUCAAGUUAUUUGAACUUUAACCUUUUGAAUGUAAUGAUAAAAGUUUGAUAUUUGGAGAUACUUGUGUUUAUGAUAAUUAAUGCUUACAAAUUGAAUUUGUAGUUCGA